AGUUACUCAGUGUCACUAAUCUUGGAUGGUUUAGCAACAAAGAGAUGAGCUAAGUGUUGGAGUGGGUCUGGAAGAGGAACCCCUAUGCACUACUGAUGAGAAUGGAAAGGUGUACCUAUUUUAGCCAACAGUAUUGGGAUUCCUUAAAUUUUUUUAAAUAGAACUACCAUUUGAUCCGGUAACCCAGAAUCAGAGAAUAUAUCUGAGAGAAAUUAGCAUCUCUGUUUACUGGUGACAAGUCCUUACUUCCCCGAUGCUGAAGUAUAACACCAGAGAAGCGCGCUGAGGCAAGUUUAGAGUGGUAAGUUGAAGCUUUAUUAAAGGACAAUAGAAAAGACUUCUCCCCGGAGGAAGAAGGGGACCCAAGUUGUGGAAUCCAUGGAAGGGGGGAGGUCUUCCCUUGUUUAUAGCUAAGGUUUACUUUCAGAUUUCCCACAUUCCUUUUGCUUGCAUUCCUGUCCUUUGUUCUGUUAUCUUGCAGUGAUGAAAUGUAGGUGGGAAGGCCCAAAAGGUGGGGGACUGAUGGGCUGAAGGAGUAAUCAGGGCAGGAAGGGCUUUUAGAUUAGCAUCUCUUUUUUGCUGGGAGCUGCUUCAUUAACAUUUCCUUGGGAUGGGCUCUGUGCCUUGGGGAUUUUUUCAAUUCCUCUUUUCCUGGACUUCAUUCUUGAUUUUUACUCGAUAUUAGACCAAAUUUACCUAACUACACUAAUUACCUAUCUGUAAAUAUGGCUUCAAAAUGAAAUAAGUAUCCCAAAGAGGGCUGGGCGUGGUGGUGCAUGCCUGUAAUCCCAGUGGCUUGGGAGUCUGAGGCAGGAGGAUCGCAAGUUCAAAGCCAGCCUCAGCAAUGGUUAGGUGCUAAGCAACUCAGUGAGACUCUGUCUCUAAGUAAAAUACAAAAUAUACCUGGGGAUGUGUUUCAGUAGUUGAGUGCCCCAAGUGCCCCUGAGUUCAAUUCCCCGUACCCCAAAAAUAUUUAAAAAUUUAAAAAAUCCCAAAGAGGAAUGUUCAUUGCAGUAUUGCAAUAACCAAGACACAGAAAUAGUACAUCUUCAAAGGCAAGAGGAUAGAGAAAAUGAAAUCAGAUAUUAUUCAGCCACGAAGAAGAAAGGGGUUCUGCCAUUUCCAACAACAUGGGUGAAACUUAAGGGUCUUCUGCUAAGUGAAACAACUCAGAAAAGACAAAUAGUGUAUGCUUUGUAUUACUUGCAGAGCCCAAAAAAGUCCAACCGAUGGAAACGGAGUGGACUGGUGAUUGCCAGUGUUCUGGGGCUGGUGGAAUGGGAGAUGUGCCCCGAGCCUGCUGACGCUCAGGUAUGAGGUGGCUAGUGAGCAAGACUGCGAAUGCUGCAGCCUGGGGAGAGUUGCUGUGUUCUCACACACCACUGUAACUCUGAGAGGACAGAUGUGUUUGUUGUAGAUCAUAGCUCUUUCACUGUGUGUGUCUACGUGAUGCUUUGUACUCUUACAUGCACGCAGUUUUUUAGUGUCAGCUCAGAAAGCCUGGGGCCCAAAAUAGCAAGGAAGUCUGUUUCCAUCCCAGUGGUGAAGCUGGGCUAUCUGUGUGUGUGUGUGUGUGUGUGUGUGAAAGAGAGAGAGAGAGAGAGAGAGAGAGAAUGAGUCCUGGUACCUGCUCCCUGAUCAAAAAGAACUCCCUUGGAGCCCCUCACUGUGUGGGGUGUCAGGCCUGCCAUCGUAUUUGGGCACUAACUUCACCCUGGAGGUUCAGCUAAAGCUGCCCCUGAGGAGGUUCUCAUUUAGUGAUCUUUCUGGGUCACAGGAGCCUCGGGCGUGAAGCCCUGGGCACUGGGUCCUCAUGAUAGAUUGCUGUGGGUUCUCUAAAAGCCAGCCGAGACUGAGCAUGCCUUCUCUGCCCAGGGGCUCAUCUCCACAUUGCAGAGAGAAGGUGAACCCUCCUCCAUGGGGACUCACUGAACAGAGCUAGGCACACAGGCGCCACCCCCCCCCCCCAUGAUGAGUUGCAGAUAAACUGAAGAAUGGGUGAGGGAGGGCAGCACCCAUCAGUUUUUUUUUUUUUUUUAACAGAGGGAAGGACAGGAGAAGGACAUAGUUUGCAGGUCACUGGUCCGGAUGGGCAGUUUUGGUUCCUUGGGGGGUGGGGGGCAAGGACCAUCCCCUGUCAUGUAACUUGUUUUAACCUAAGUCUCUGUUUUCCUGGGCAUCUGUAAUAAGAAAAGCAGAAAUUGACCCAUACUUUGCAACUUCAUGUUUUUGAGAUUGAUGUACACUGCAGACAUUUACCUGUGCUUACAGCAGUUGUGCCACUGUGUUUGCUAUCCGAUCUCUGUUGGUAAAGGGAAGCCAAUGUCCUAGUCAGGAAGAGUUACCUCUACUAUUCUUAAUACUUUUAAUACAAGUAAUUAAAUCAUUCCAUUCUGAUGUCACUUUUUAGUUUCAAUUAACCCUUUCAUCUAAUUAUCCAACCUCACUCAGUCAUCUACCUCUGCUUCUAGUAACCCUCAGGAGGGGCAGGGUCAUCCCCUGCUUUGUUGAGGACUGUGCCUGCUGGUGAGUUGUCCUGUCCCUGAGCUCAGUGACAUCAGGCCAGGCACCGCACCAUGUCCUCUCUAGAGGGCACUCCAUGCUGUGGCUGGAGCAUUUGCAUCCCCCAAAUUCAUAAGUUGAAAUCCUAGUCCCUGAUAUGGUGGUAUUUGGAGGUGGGGCCUAGGGGGCCAGUGGUCCCUGGAGAUUGGUGGGUUUGUGGAAGGAAGCCUGUUGGGAAAACAUAUAAUGGAAGCAGCACCCCAGAGAAAAACCCCAACAUGGUGCCUAACGACCCUCUUUCUCCUCUUUUUUCUUUCACUGGCGCUAAAUGUUCCCGCUGGCGCCAAUGUUCAAAUCCUGCGGGUGGGAAACCUUAGCCCCAAUAAGAAUUAACUUCUUGGGCUCCGGAACUGACAUAUGGAAGAGCUUGCCAAUAAAUGGGUGACCCGUUAUCUACCUCAGCCAUGCCACCUCUCCUUAGGUCUAUAUAAACCCACAGCCUUUUGUAAUAAAGCAGAACCUCUCCAGUGAUUUGUGUCGUGUGGUGUCUUCAAUUUGUAGUGCGGUGCGGCGUCUUACAGUGGUGCCGAAACCUGGGAGACGGUGUGCUCGACAAACCGAGCCCCGUCUCCACCACCGCCGUCACCAACGACACAUUUCGCCCUUGUCUGUCUUCUUGGGCGCUGGCUCCCUGCACUCACCACUGAUCAGGUUUAGGUAAGUUCCCCCUCCCUGGCUCGCCAACUCCCUUUGGGCUAGCAGCAGGAAACGCUACCGUGAUCGUCCGCAACGCUCCUGAGGCCCAGUAGGGAGGAGGGAACGCACCCCACUAAGACCUUCACUGGUCGCAGUGGACCCUCUGGCGACCUGCUUCCCUUUGGGGUGUGAGGCUUCUGGGUUUACACGAGAGGCUCCCUGGUCUCUUCCUCCUCCGCGGAAGCCACUUCCCAAAGGAACUUGCCCCGCCGGAUCUGUGUUCAGCCCAGAGCUGAACUUCCAGCCCGGAGCUGCAGGUUCUGCUGGAGCUCUGUCCCUUCUUUCCUUGACUGUCUCAUUCUGGUCGAAAAACUUUCCUGACGUCAGGUUGCCCGCAGCCUCGAC
rnacentral:lncRNA from 1 species